rnacentral:rRNA from 1 species
CCCUUAGAUGUUCUGGGCCGCACGCGCGCUACACUGACGAUGGCAACGAGUUUUUCCUUCGCCGAAAGGUGUGGGUAAUCUUUUGAAACAUCGUCGUGCUGGGGAUAGAUCAUUGCAAUUUUUGAUCUUGAACGAGGAAUUCCUAGUAAGCGCGAGUCAUCAGCUCGCGUUGAUUACGUCCCUGCCCUUUGUACACACCGCCCGUCGCUACUACCUAUUGAAUGGUUUAGUGAGGACUCCUGAUUGGCGCCGCCGCCCCGGCAACGGAGCAGCGGACUGCCGAAAAGUUGUUCAAACUUGAUCAUUUAGAGGAAGUAAAAGUCGUAACA